GACGAACGCUGGCGGCGUGCUUAACACAUGCAAGUCGAGCGGAAAGGCCACUUCGGUGGUACUCGAGCGGCGAACGGGUGAGUAACACGUGAGUAAUCUGCCCUUGGCUUUGGGAUAGCCACCGGAAACGGUGAUUAAUACCGAAUAUGACACAUGGUCGCAUGGUUGUGUGUGGAAAGUUUUUUCGGCCAGGGAUGUGCUCGCGGCCUAUCAGCUUGAUGGUGAGGUAAUGGCUCACCAUGGCUUCGACGGGUAGCCGGCCUGAGAGGGUGACCGGUCACACUGGGACUGAGACACGGCCCAGACUCCUACGGGAGGCAGCAGUGGGGAAUAUUGCACAAUGGAGGAAACUCUGAUGCAGCGACGCCGCGUGAGUGAUGAAGGCCUUCGGUCGUAAGACUCUGUCCGUAGGGACGAGUAAUGACGGUACCCGUAGGAGGAAGGACCCCGGCCUAACUACGUGCCACGCAGCCGCCGGUAAGUAGUACGUCUACU
rnacentral:rRNA from 1 species